GACGAACGCUGGCGGCGUGCCUAAUACAUGCAAGUUGAGCGAUGAAGAUUGGUGCUUGCGCCAAUUUGAAGAGCAGCGAACGGGUGAGUAACGCGUGGGGAAUCUGCCUUUGAGCGGGGGACAACAUUUGGAAACGAAUGCUAAUACCGCAUAACAACUUUAAACAUAAGUUUUAAGUUUGAAAGAUGCAAUUGCAUCACUCAAAGAUGAUCCCGCGUUGUAUUAGCUAGUUGGUGAGGUAAAGGCUCACCAAGGCGAUGAUACAUAGCCGACCUGAGAGGGUGAUCGGCCACAUUGGGACUGAGACACGGCCCAAACUCCUACGGGAGGCAGCAGUAGGGAAUCUUCGGCAAUGGACGAAAGUCUGACCGAGCAACGCCGCGUGAGUGAAGAAGGUUUUCGGAUCGUAAAACUCUGUUGGUAGAGAAGAACGUUGGUGAGAGUGGAAAGCUCAUCAAGUGACGGUAACUACCCAGAAAGGGACGGCUAACUACGU
rnacentral:rRNA from 1 species